GAAGCCAGCCUUCAGAUGAAGAUGUAGAACUCUCAGCUCUGCCUGCACCAUGCCUGCCUAGAUGCUGCCCUGCUCCUACCUUGAUGAUAGACUGAACCUCUGAACCUGGUUAAACCGAGCAGUCUGACUGGGAAGCAAGCAGUGCUCUGGAAAGAUGGCUCCCCACAGCAUGGUGGAACAGCAAACCUUGGACCCUGUGACAAAACCUCUGCACUCCUCAACUAGAGAGCGGGAAGGCGAGCAGCUCCUCAGUGGAACCCUGGCUGCUUAAUGUCUGCUGUGAUUAUGUUCCAGUGCUCCCUAGGAAGCAAGGACUACCACAGUGUGCAUCCAUUUACAGAGGAAGCAAGGGGCAGGGAAGUUAUGAGAACCAUAUGUGCUAAGAAGCAAAGCUGAAACCAGAAUGUGGGCGAGCUUGCCUCUCUGUACAUGGCUUCACUUGGGAGGUUUUGUUUAAUUUAUUCCUAAAUUUUUAUUUCUAUUGGAUACUAUAAUGAAUGGAACUUUUU
rnacentral:lncRNA from 1 species